rnacentral:rRNA from 1 species
UUAAGUGCCAUAAGAGCGCAACCCCUUUCUUUAGUUCCAUCAAGGUCAUGCUGGGCACUCUGGGGAUACUGCCACCGCAAGGUGUGAGGAAGGUGGGGAUGACGUCAAAUCAGCACGGCCCUUAGUCCGGGGCUACACCGUGUUACAACGGCUGGUACAGAGGGGCGGUGCAAUGUAAAUUGCAUCCAAUCUUGAAAGCCGGUCCCAGUUCGGACUGAGGUCUGCAACCCGACCUCAGAAGCUGGAUUCGCUAGUAUCGCGCAUUAGCCAUGGCGCGGUGAAUACGUUCCCGGGCCUUGUACACACCGCCCGUCAAGCCUGAGCCGGGGGUGCCUGCCUGUAACCGCGAGGAGCGACCUAGGGCAAACUGGUGUUGGGGCUAAAAGUAACAGGUAUCCAAUCGAAUUCCCGCGGCC